rnacentral:sRNA from 1 species
UGCAUCUGUAGCUCAUGAGGAUGAGAACCUCCGGGGGCAGGGAGGUUCGACUCGAGCGAAGCGAGAGAACGUUGCGCCAGCAACGGCCCGCAGGGCGAGCCACGAAGUGGCGAGUAAUCCUCUAUCACCGACCA